rnacentral:rRNA from 1 species
UAGGGAAUAUUGCACAAUGGAGGAAACUCUGAUGCAGCGACGCCGCGUGAGUGAUGAAGGCCUUCGGGUCGUAAAGCUCUGUCGUAUGGGACUAACACAAUGAAGGUACCAUGCAAGAAAGGAUCGGCUAACUUCGUGCCAGCAGCCGCGGUAAGACGAGGGAUCCUAGCGUUGUUCGGAAUUAUUGGGCGUAAAGCGGGUGUAGGUGGACUUAUAAGUCAGGUGUGAAAUCCCAGGGCUCAACCCUGGAAGUGCACUUGAUACUGCAAGUCUUGAGUGUGGUAGAGGCUAUUAGAAUUCUUGGUGUAGUGGUGAAAUACGUAGAUAUCAAGAGGAAUACCGGAGGCGAAGGCGGAUAGCUGGGCCAACACUGACACUGAGACCCGAAAGCGUGGGGAUCAAACAGGAUUAGAUACCCCGGUAGUCCCUGAGCGGGCUGGCAAGGCGCAU